UCAAAUCUCUAAAUUCUUCAAUUAACUCUAACUCUCUAGCCAUCAAUGUUGACAUAUGCAACGUCUUCCCACUCAGCGCGUCAGUCACUACAUUGACUUUACUAGAAUGGUAAUUCAAACUAAAAUCAUAAUCCUUUAACAAUUCAAGUCACCUCCUCUUACUUAUAUUUAACUUAUUCUGAUCGAAUAGGUACUUCAAGCUCUUAUGAUCACUGAUUUUUUUUAAAUCUAGUUCCAAACAUAUAAUGUCUCCAAAUUUCAAGUGCAAAC
rnacentral:lncRNA from 1 species